UAGCGAUAUGAAGAAAGAUGCCAGUUUUUUUGUUUUUGUUUUGAUCUCGCAUUUAACUUCUCUGUGCCAUUUUUGUCUUCUUCUCCCCUCUCCCCUUCAAAGAUGAUGAACCAGUUGGGCAAAUGAAAACAAAUUCAACAAACAACCACAAGGACAAAAACAUUCGCCAGAGGAAUACGAAAUAAGCAAUUUACUCAAAUGAGAUGGCUAAACUGCAUUUUUUUGACUACGUGAAGGUGUCAGAGGUGGAUGGAGCUCUGGGCAGUUUUGAAAAAAGCAUAUCUUGUCUCAUUUUAUGAGAAACAAUAUCAGCAUAACACUGGCAACAAAAAGAACAUAAUGGCUGUCUUAAGCAUGCCUUAUUCAGUCUUAAGUGGAGAUUUCAGGAUGAAGAAUAAUGACUAAAACCACCACAGAGGUGUACACAUUUUUAAUGUGCUGUUGAUGUCUCCUUUCUUGAUUUUAUCAUGUCCUCAAAUGAGGUGAUCCCUUUUGUAUUACAUAUCAUGUAAAAUGCAUGCAAGAUAAUUACAACGCAAUAGGAUACUCAGAAUAGACAUUUUCUGUUGUUAUCCCUCGUGUGGCUUUUUUGCAUCCAAAAUUACCUUUUUUAUGGAGUCAUCCUUGCAUAUACAUAUACACAUAUAUGUAUAUAUAUAUACAC